GGCCAUAGCUCAAUGGUAGGGUGUCUGCUUUACAUGCAGAAUGUCCCAGGUUCAAUCCCCAGCAUCUCAGGGCUA